GUGAAAUAACCUGGGACUUUAUGUCCCAAACCUUCUCACAUCCACACACCUUUGUGCACCGUUGGACAGCUCUUUAAUAUAUAGAGGCGCCGUCCUAUUAUUUUAUAAACAUCUUAUGCAUGUAUGGAACGUGUUAUUCAAUGCUCUAGUAGCACUGAAAUAAAUAAAUAAAUAAAAUUAAACA
rnacentral:misc_RNA from 1 species